CUCACAGGUGUUGAAGAAAAAAGAGUCGCAUGCUCCUUGGUCUUUGGCCACAUUGAUACCGGUGGUGCACAUGUUGUCCUCCAGCACGGCUACACAGCACUGCUCCUGCACUGUCCUGUCAUGACCGAUACCAAACCUCAAUAAUCUCAUCAUCUGCAAGCGAUAUACAGGGUGUACCCUGCCACUCGUCCAAAAAGUCAGCUGGCAUAGGCUCCAGCAUACCUGCGACCCUAGUGAGGAUUAGCGGCAUAGAAGAUGGAUGGAUGGAUGAAGACUUAACAGGCUAAGUACUCAUAUAAGGACUGCUGUGACAUAUACAUCUGCUAACAUUGGACUAAUUAUUUCCUCAUCUCCCCUAGUGCCGGCAGCACUCAUGCAGCCCUGGACAAUGACGCUACCGCCACCAUGCUUGACUGUAGGCAUGACGCAAUUAUCUUGCUACUCACAUGCGUUGGCAGCUAUUUAGACAAUAAUGGCUGUGUGUUUACUCAUUUUCAGUGGAGUAAAUCUAUACUUCUAUACAAGCUGUGCACUGACUACUCUAAAGUAUUUCCUCGUUUCAUUUCUCUACUAUUGUCCCUUGAUAAGAUGUUCUUUUAAAAGAAUUGUGAAAUGUGAGGGCUGCAUACUGUAUUUCCAGCAUCACUGUGCCCCAGUGCACAUCCAAGCAAUGCUUGGGUGAGUUUGGUGUAGAAGAACCCAAGAGCCCUACCUUAGAGACUAGGGUAGGGAUGCAACAAUCCACAUUUUCAUGAUACCGGAGUUUGGAUAUCUGCCGAUGCCGAUACAAUUCCAAUACCAGAGAUCUGUUUGUUUCUUCAGUAUACAGUACAACCACACCAAAAGAUUGUCAUCACAUGUACUGUAGCCAGAAGAAUAUCAGCGAACUUAGCCGUCCCCACAUAUGCAGGGCUGCGUAUUGACACACACACACACACACACACACACAAGUGCUCUGCCUGACGCAUUCACGGCUUCAUAGUCGGACAACACAGAACUUUGAACAAUGCACUUAACUUUUAUUGUUUAAAAUAUUUUGUAAUUAUUUAAUAUUUUCCAUCCAUCCAUAUUAUAAGACUAAUUAUAUAUUCAGUCCUUUCCGGUGUAUAAGCCGCUAGUUAACACAUUUAUUAUAUAUAAAUACAGUCAAACCGGUCUUAGCGGCCACCUUUAUAGAACGGCCACCUGCCUAUAGCAGCCACUGAAAAAAUCCCCCCCAGCAAAUUUACAUGUUAUAGACCCUGUGUAUAGCAGUCACCUGUCCAACGCGGCCAGCGGCCACCCAUUUUGUCUCCCUUGGUCAAUAUCUGACUGCAUAUAGCGGCCAAAUUACCAACUCAAGUAGAAGCUUCAUGCAUGAAAAAGUUUAGUUUUUCAAUCAAUGAAGCCGUCGUGUGUAGACUUUAAUUACUGAGUCCUAGCUCAGUCACAAUCAUUCACAAGAUCCACACAAACUGUCAGUUGUUCCACAUAAAAACAGCCGUCUUCUUUUGAGCGUGCUAUUUCCUGGUCAAACAUGUAACUUUAAGAGCAUUUGCACCAAAACAUUACCGCAAAGUAGGCUGGGAACAGGACGUGCUCGCAGCGACGCUACAAUAAAAAAAAACAUAUGCUAGCAUGCAUGCGGCAGCGGGAGCAAAACUGAGUUCGGUUGUACUUAACUGAAGUAUUUUAGAAUGUACUCACGUUAUUUUUCAUCAAUCCUCAUCCACAAAUCCAUCAGUCCUCAUCUUCUGUAUUCGACACAAAAAAAUCCGUCUUCUUUUCCGUUCGCUACUAGUCUGUUAACUUGUCAGUGUUAUUCAGCUCCGAAGCAAAGAAGGAAACUUCUCCUGUUGCUUCUGCCAACUUUAUUUAUUGAACGCGGCCACCAGACAGCAGCUCAGAACACACACACAUCUCUCAGCAUCGUCUCUCCUUCCUGCUUGCCCACAAGGCAAAGGUUAAACAAGCCCCACUCCAUAGCUGUCCAGCCAAUGCCUGUAAGAAAUGACACCGUUUAUUUCCUGGUGUGCACUGGUCAAUACUGUAAUGCCGCUUGUUGUGGGGAAGGAGAGACUCACGUCGCCGAUGCACUUUAAUGGCUUUAUUAACAGCGGAGAACACUGCAGGACUUUACAUCCACGCCAACAUAAACACACUUCCCAAUUCUCUCGAAACUCACAGCUAGCACUGAGCCUAGCUCUCCUGCUCGGGACGCCCACCGUCACUUCCUGAUGAACUAAAGCUGUAAUGACACUGCCGUAUAAAAAGUAAAAUAUUAAAAACAAGCGUAAGACAUUACUACCACAGCUUUGUUCUGUGGGUCGUGGAUAUAUUCUAUCAGUUAUUAUUAAGCCUCUAGCUUCCUUUUAGUAAGUAAAAACCUUGGCUAUGAUUGCACUACAUUGUCAUGUAGACCUACAAAGUACACUUGGAAGAACAAGAGGUGAAUAAAUGUAUUGAAACUGAUGAGGGGUAGGAUUAAAUAAGCUUUGCUUCUUCCUACUCCUUUUUGGACAUGCAAAAUUUUGAAUUGUACUAUGUGAUGUGCUACUGUUUGACUCAUGCAUGUUCAGGAUUAAAACCAUGAACCAUGAACCAUGAUAAUAACAAGCCUAGUAGUGCUGUACAACUUUUAUCCGCAGUGCCCUCUACUGGUCAACAUUAUUAUUAUUAUUAUUUUCCCUUUUUUUUUUCCUCUACUGGUCAACAUUCAAACUGGACGCCAACCUGUCUAUAGCGGCCACUUUUGCAGACUCCCUCUAGUGGCCGCUAUAGACAAGUUUGACUGUAUAUAUAUAUACACACAGUAUAUAUACACAGUAUAUAUGUUGGGUUUUUUUUCUGAUAGGUUUUCUUAUUUACGUUAUUACAGUGUAUUCGUGGAGAUGGCUUUCUAGGUACGUUUACUGACAACAUCAAAGCACAGAUGUGGCUUAUGGAUCAGAAAUCUCCGCAAGUGGUAUUGCAAAUUUUGGAUAAGUCAGUUAUGCUGCUACUGGAACCCGGUACUGGAUUGGAUUAGGCCCAUGAAACGCAUUCACAAUAAGGUCCAGGUUCAACAUCAGUUACCUCUGGAGAGGAUAAAUAGGCAGGGAUUCCCAAAUCUGUAGAAAGUCUUCCUGGAAAAGUGGGAGCUGUUCUAGCUGCAAAAGUAAGGAGCAACUCCCCAUUUUCUUGACUUUUUACUUCCUGUAGGUGCAAUGGCCAAGUAUCAAAAGGAACAGACCCUCCUUCUCCCUCACAGAAUAUCCGAUUGCCUCAGUCCAAUCAGUUAAAUUGCUGUUCUGGAUCUCAGCAGGCUUUUACAAGAAAAAGAGCUUAGCCUCCCCCACGCGUCUCCUCUGUCAUUUCCAACAAGCUCUCUUUGGAGCUCUUACCAGAAUCUCAUUCACCUCCACGUGCACACCUCCUCUGCACUGCCUUUUAAGGGCAUGAUGACCACGCGUCUUCACCUUUUUUUCCACCUUACUCACUCUUCCUGUUAUUCCAUCCUCCGUCCACGUUGGGUUUCACCUCCGUGGUCACCCCCACCCCUCACAUGUGGUGCGUCCCACCCCCACAAGCCCUUUCCUCUGGUGCUAUAAUUUGGACAAAUUUGGGAUCACUUAGGGUGGCACGUCGUCCUCAGGUUGCUAGCCGUUAUUAUCUCAUCAUUAUUACCGCUUCCUGUUCUCGCUGGGAGGAAGCAAUAUGGCCACAGACAUAUGGGAGAAAGGUAAAGUCAAUUCACAUUAAAGGCCUGCAGACAGCACGUCUACAUGACAAGCAUAUAUGGUUACAAUGUAACGGAUAGACUACUGCAUUGUAGCAGUUUUACCUGCAUGUGGGGGACCCGGAGAUGAGCGGGAGGGUUGCACAGACUUUGUUAUCGCUGGCACCCCUCUGGCCAUCUUUGCAGCAGUCGUCAAUGGAGAUCUGCUGCACACCUACACAAAAAAACAGCCAAGGAAGUUAAUUAUCUAAUUGUGGAUCAUAGUACCACAGGUUGUCCAAGUAAUACCUCUAUUUAGUGAACUCAUUCAAUCUCGGCCAUUUCUCAAAAGACAACCAGUUCACUAUCAGCCAUUUUAGAUGAUUUUGACUGAUCUUUCAAGGCACGUGCAUGCAUUAAGAUUUCCCUACAGUGUGUAACCUUCUGCACGCUACACGCCACCAAGUUCUUUCAGUUCCUCCUUGCUGUCAUGUAUGUUUUCUCCAUUGAAAUUCACAUGCUGAGCUCUUAUCAAAUGCACUUCUGCCACCAUGUGGGCGUUUUUAUGGCUUAAACUGCUCUAAAAGUGGCAUCCAUUAGUGUGCAAUUGUGUCAUCACCUCUUUUUGCCAAAAAAAAACCGUAAAAGAUGUAUAAAUACGUCUUUGGGAUCGGGCGUUCGGAGUUAUAAAAACUUAUAAAUACGUCUUUGGUACUGAAAGAGUUAAUUCCACAAGAUGGCAGUAGCUGCAUUUGAAGUAUCAUGAGUGGUCAGCAUCCAGCAGGUGUAUUGACCUCUGCAUGUGCUUUAAAAUGUCAAAUGCAAUGUUGGGCUAUUUGUGUGAAAGUCAUGUGUGUUACACUUGCCAUACUGUUGUUUACAGUUAAGUAAUCAUCGCUAUUGAUGCUGGCUAAGCAGUUUGUUCCUUGCCGCUAUUACAUCAUUGGUUCUGUUGCGGCUAUGCUGUGCAAUAUACUUGUUGACAAAUGA